rnacentral:misc_RNA from 1 species
GAUGAAGAACGUAGCGAAAUGCGAUAAGUAAUGUGAAUUGCAGAAUUCAGUGAAUCAUCGAAUCUUUGAACGCACAUUGCGCCCGUCAGUAUUCUGGCGGGCAUGCCUGUUCGAGCGUCAUUACGCCCCUCAAGUCCCCUGUGGACUUGGUGUUGGGGAUCGGCGAGGCUGGUUUUCCAGCACAGCCGUCCCUUAAAUUAAUUGGCGGUCUCGCCGUGGCCCUCCUCUGCGCAGUAGUAAAACACUCGCAACAGGAGCCCGGCGCGGUCUACUGCCGUAAAACCCCCCAACUUUUUAUAGUUGACCUCGAAUCAGGUAGGACUACCCGCUGAACUUAAGCAUAUCAAUAAGCGGAGGA